rnacentral:lncRNA from 1 species
AUGGCCGGACCUGCUCCAGGAUGCCGGGCCGGCGGGGGCUCUGGUACCAGCUUCCGCCCUGACACGGGCGGGCGGGGGCCGGAGACAGAGAUCCCGCCACCAGAGGGGAGGAGGGUCAGGCAGUGCGUGGACAUAUUUAAAUCGACCACAGAGGAGGAUUCCUAUCGUCUCCAUUUCACGGAUGACACAGCUGACGCACAGAGAAGUCAAGUGGGUGGCCCAGGGUCACACAGCUGGUUAGCGGAGGAGCCUGGAUCUGAGCCCAGAGUCAUGACCCCCUCCCUGUGUUACAGUUCCGGGGUUCCUGUUACUCUGACCCUCCUGCCUGGAUCCCAGAGCAAAAUCCUUCUAGUUAGAGCAGGAAGUUGCAUUCUCUGUCCCAAGGAACCAGUAUUUUCUAAGCUCCCGGGGGCCCCAGGUUAACCCAUGAUGAUGCCAAGGAGGACACAGUCCCUGCCCUUGGGGAGCUCCAGGCCAUCCCCACAACGGCAGCCCAUGAGCUCUCAGACCACGGGAUCGCUGGCUGCAGGGCAGAGGGGGACGGGGCUGCUGGCACCGGGGGAUCCGACGGGGCUUCACCGUGGAGACAUGAAAUCUGAUAGACUCAGGUUGGGGCUCAUCAAGCUGAGCUCAGCAUGGCUGACAUCUGGGGCCAGAUACUCUUUGUCAUGGGGACCGUCCUGUGCCCCAUCACUGUGGAGCCACACCCCUAGCUUUGACCGGUAGGCUCCACACCGCCAAUUUCUGACAAUGAGCAAUGUCUCCAGAUAGCUGCAAACGCCCCCUGGAAGCAGAAUUACCCCUCGUAGGGAAACACUGGCUUUGAGGAAGGAGCAGGAAGUUUUCCGGGUGGAAGAAGCAGGUUCCAUGUGGGGCUGAGAGGUAGGCUGCAGGGAAAGCUAUGAAAGUGGACAGAGAAGCUUCAACUAGCCUGGAGAGCCUUGCCUAGCUCGUGGGGAAAUUUGGACUUGGUCCUGUAGGCAGCGGGGAGCCGUGGAAGGUUAUUAAGCAAGGAGUGACAUGAAAGGCUUGCUGCUUAGAAAGAUCACCAUUAGUGGCGUGGAGGUGUGGAGAGUGGCUUGGAGGCUACUGCACUGAUCCAAGCAAGAGGAGACACGCACGUACGCACGCAAGUAGGAGUGUCGCCAGGCGAGAUGUGUGACGUGCUCCAGGAAUUUGGGGUGAGGGGAUGCUGAAGACAGGAGUACCUGCCCGUGGGUGCUCUGUGGGCACCUUGAAGAGGGCAGCCAGGAGGGAGGGGGCAUCGCUCCCUGCUGGGAUGCAGCAGCGCUGCGAGUGAAGCUGGCCAUGGGGGGGUCCACCUUCCAGACGCCCUGCUGAAGGACCCAGGCAGAGCUCUGAGGCCGCAUGCCGGGAAGGACACACUCACACGUGGUUCAGGAGGGCAUGUUAGAGGACGGUGUGCAAGCGGACCGUGCGUGCACGUGCCUGUCAGGGACCCCCGGAUGCCGCUCCCCGCCCCAGUGUUUACAGGUGUCUCACCCCAGAGGGCCUUGCAGGUGCCCAGAGAACAGGCCAAGAGCUGCCCUGCCCAGGGGCCACCCCAUCAGCCACAACAAGCCCAGGAUUUAGAGUAGGCGUAAGUCCCAACAUGGGAAGCCUGAUUUCAUGUGGCCAGUCGUGGGAAUGUGGGUGAGUGCAGGUGACACGGGCGCAGUGUGGGGGCAUCUUCCAUGGCCCCUUCCACCGUCGCUCCACUCCUGUCCGCCCCUCGCCCCAGUCGGGCCGUGAGGUCCCGGGGCACACACCCAGGAACAGGCGGGGGCUCCGCGGCGGCACGCCCCACAUGCCUUGCUCUGUGCCUGGCACGGAAACGGGGCUCGAAGGAGAUGCGUGAUUCCAAGCUGCCGCCGCGCCCGUUAGACAAGUCCUGGAACUGUUCCAUGAACACACCUUUAAGAGACUGGCUCCUUCCGCUGAGCUAUGCGAACAGUCAGCACCUUUUUAUCCGAAGAGAGAACUCUCCGCCUUUUUAUCUGACUUGUGGAGACUCCGCAGGGCCUGAGAUUCAAGCAAAGGGCCCA